AAAUUAAAUAAUGAAUAAAAUAUAAAUAUUGGUGUAAAUAAUAAGUCUACAAACGGCGCCUCAUAGUCGUCCAGGUGCUUACUUGGCUAUCCAACAACAAGCAAAGAGCGCGCUGGAUGAAAUGACCUUAUUUCUAGAGUCGUAAGUAAGGUGACCACGUUCACCACCCAAUCUGUAACAAGCCAUGUAUUGAAUCAGCAAUGGUGAUAUUUUGUUGGUUUUUGGCAAUGAAACAGCAUCGUUAUUUCAAAUGGUUCGUGCUCUGAAAGCACUGCUUUCGUAUCGGCUCUGCGCAGGACAGUGUCUAUACCGGUACCGUACUUCUCCCAGGCCAGCCGCCCUCCCGACGUUCAAUCCUCCUUCGCGGUGGUGAGGAAAAACAAGCGAGCACAUGUGAGCCACGAUAUCAAUAUGCUGCAUGUACUUUGUGUAUCUUCAUCACCUUGAAGCAGCAUUUACACUGGAAGAAGAAGAAGAGCUGAUAAGAAACCUACAAGGCAAGAUGAGAAACUUCUUGGGUCUCACGAGUCUCUACUGUUGCCAUACUUAUGAGGACACAGGAGAAAUUUGUCUGGUUCAAGGAAGGCAUGGUGGCAGCUGAGCUGGGACUCGAUCAUGAUGUGGAGAUGGAGGUGUCUUGUGUUUCUUAUUACAGAUCCAUCGAUUGAAAGAUAGAGUACUCACUCCUGGGCAUGCCUGCAUCAUUCAGAGUCCGGAAUCAACUGCUGGCCUGUACAAUAUACUGUAACAGCUCUCUGAUCCCUGGUGCGUAGUCCUCAUGGAUUAUCCAGCAAACCCUUGUCACGCAUGUAUCUUUGUUACCUACAGUUAUCUGGACAUGAUGAUUUUGAAGAGCUGCAUUGCUGCAAACCCAACGUUGCCCCAAGGAGUGAGUUAGCUACAUCCACUUGAGGAACACAGAAUGAGGAUCACAACUAUUUACUGCAUGCAGAAAACAUUGGCAAUGGCAGCAGGACAGUGCAUCCAUAGUCACUCCUCACAUUGUUUCCAGAAUGAGGAUCACAAGAGAGGUUUGGCUGUCCUGUUUAUAUCAUGGCCAUGACUGAUGGUUGCAAAGUUGUGUCGAUGAGUCUGUAUCUGCAUUUCCAAAUCACAUUUAGAAACGUUUGCAUUGUUUUGUAGGGUUUGACUGAGUCCUAAUAUGACUGCUAGAUUUAAUGGAAACUUUUGUGGGUAUGUUUUCUGAUCUUUACAGAGGUAAAACGUUUAGUGGUAUGUUUCAAUCCAGCAUUGAUAAUCUAAGGAAUUGCUCACAAAAAUGAAAUAUUUGAGCAUAUCGAUAAUAAAAGAAGAUGCAAUGAAAUUUGUUACAAGACAACAUCUAGCUCUAGAGGGUGACUCUAUGCUCGAUAAUGAAAAAUAAUAACUUUUGAUUAGAAUAUUAGCUUAAAUUAUAAAUGAUUGUCUAUGCGUCUAAACAUUUGCUCCUCAAAUGGAUUGUGUUUUAAAAAAAAAAAUUGCACUGGAGCAGUUGAACCCCUCCCUCCCCCCCACAAAAAGGAAACCAAUGAUAAUGGUAUUAUGUUUAGAAGUACUGAUAAGUUUUUAUUUACUCUGAUUCUGGUUUGUGUGUUGAAUGUCUUUGUAUGAUUGCAGUUUGUUUGUGUAUGACUAUGUGAUAUGAUCUGAUUACUAAAUAAUUACCAGCUAGCCUUACUCAAAGCCUGGACAUGUUGAAUUAGAUCUAAAUGGACAAGCAAAUUUUUACUGUUUUUUUAAAAACCUAGUUGGAAAAAAAUACAUCUUCUGCAGAAAUGAUUCAGUGCCAAAAACAGACUAUAUAAUGUGAUAUAUCGAAAAAAUUUAGCUCUAUGUUCCAAUGAAAGCCAAUUUUGUUGAAAAGUGUGAUGCUAUCCAUCCGAAACAUUAUGACAUGUAGUACAUCUUGUGGACAGUCUUCUCCUUAGUUGAAUUUGUUCUCAAUAACUCCAUCCAUUUGUGAAGUUGACAGUAACCUUUCAAGCAUACAAAUCACCUAUAUGUAUUGAAAUACGGGUACACUUGCUCCCGAGUUCAUAAAAACAUGAAACUAGCAAACCUUUUCUUCAGGUUUUGAAAAUGUUUGCCUACUAAUUAAAACUGAAUCUCUCGGAAACCAGCUACCCCCACAGGCCUUUACUAAAGAAAAAUAUGAGUAUCCUGCUGGCGAAGACAUGGUCAUUAUCUGCAACCUCAUAAGUAUUCAUAUGUCAGUCAUUAGGCCAUUCAUCAAGGCAUGCGCGCUUCGCUUCUCUCUAUACUUCUGUUUGUGAUGAGAUUUGUGCACAAAUUAGAUUAAAUUGAAGUUAAAAGAAAUAUGUACAUGUAAGUAUUAUCUUAAAGAACUAGGAGCAUAUUUAGGAUAAUUGGAAAUUCAAUAUGAUUUCAAGUUUCACACUUGGCGGAAUAUAUUCGUGAAAUAUGAUGAUUGGUUCGCUCAGACUAAGAUGGUUAAAAAGUAUAGUAGGCCUAUAAAACACCAGCUUUAAAUUGGAUUAGUCUUUAAAAAAAAAAAAAAA